CCAAUAGCGUAUAUUAAAGUUGUUGCAGUUAAAAAGCUCGUAGUUGAAUUUCGGGAUCAAUAUGUCGGUCGUGCCUUCGGUACGUACUGGUAUCAUUGGUCUCUCCUUUCUGACGAACCAUGAUGUCAUUAAUUUGGUGUUAUGGGGAGUUAGGACUGUUACUUUGAAAAAAUUAGAGUGUUUAAAGAGGGCUUUAGCUUGAAGACAUUAGGAUGGAAUAAUGAAAUAGGACGUUCGAACCUAUUUUGUUGGUUUCUAGGAUCAACGUAAUGAUUAAUAGGGAUAGUUGGGGGCAUUAUUAUUCAAUUGUCAGAGGUGAAAUUCUUGGAUUUAUUGAAGACUAACUACUGCGAAAGCAUUUGCCAAGGAUGUUUUCAUUAAUCAAGAACGAAAGUUAGGGGAUCGAAGACGAUCAGAUACCGUCGUAGUCUUAACCAUAAACUAUGCCGACUAGGGAUCGGAUGAUGUUAAUUUUUUAAUGACUCAUUCGGCGCCUUACG
rnacentral:rRNA from 1 species